GCUAUGACGUCAACCAUCACGCGAACCAUUCCCGUUUGACGUCGCCAUUGCUGAAUUGGAUCAAGAGAAUACUGGCUACUGGAAGAAGUCACUAAGCAACAGAUUCAGGAAGUGUCAUGAACGUGAUAAUCCAUUAGGACAAAUGGAAAGGGGGGGGGGGGGAAGGACGACACCCAAACCAGACAAAGCUGCAGGCAAACACAUGUAUGGCAUAAAGAAAGUACCUUCCUGCAUCCCCAGAAGGUGAGGAUGAAGAAAUGAUCAAUGCACACAUCAAGAUGCUUCAGAAUGAAUCCAGAAAAACAAGACAGGACAGCAUGAUGAUAGACAAUCUAAUGUCACUAACUUUAGCCAAUAGGCGCAAGGGUAUCAUCAACAGCAACUGGACUGAAUCCUACUUGAAGGAUAUGUACCCUUACCUUUUCCAUGAAGAUGAGAGUUUGAGAGACUGUCAGAGGACCCAAUUAAGCAGAAGUUGGAAGCAGGACAUUUGAAUAUGCUGAUCCAUUACUAGAGAUAUGUAAGACUCCCAAGCAAGGUUUGGAGCUCAAAAACCUGAUCUUGGCUGCAGCAGCAGAAAAUGAGGACACCAGGAAAAUGAUCAAAUCAUGUGGAGCACUUCUGUUGAUUCCUACUAUUUUGGAAGAGAAGGCAUUGCUUUGUCAGCAUAGCCAGG
rnacentral:lncRNA from 1 species